CCUACGGGUGGCAGCAGUGAGGAAUAUUGGUCAAUGGACGAGAGUCUGAACCAGCCAAGUAGCGUGAAGGAUGACUGCCCUAUGGGUUGUAAACUUCUUUUAUAAAGGAAUAAAACGAGGCACGUGUGCCUUUUUGCAUGUACUUUAUGAAUAAGGAUCGGCUAACUCCGUGCCAGCAGCCGCGGUAAUACGGAGGAGCCGAGCGUUAUCCGGAUUUAUUGGGUUUAAAGGGAGCGUAGAUGGGUUGUUAAGUCAGUUGUGAAAUUUUGCGGCUCAACCGUAAAAUUGCAAUUGAUACUGGCAGUCUUGAGUACAGUUGAGGUAGGCGGAAUUCGUGGUGUAGCGGUGAAAUGCUUAGAUAUCACGAAGAACCCCGAUUGCGAAGGCAGCUUACUAAACUGUGACUGACAUUGAUGCUCGAAAGUGUGGGUAUCAAACAGGAUUAGAUACCCUAGUAGUC
rnacentral:rRNA from 1 species